rnacentral:rRNA from 1 species
UAUGUGAUCGUCUCUCGCAUAUCAAUAAGCGGAGGAAAAGAAACUAACAAGGAUUCCCCUAGUAACGGCGAGUGAAGCGGGAAGAGCUCAAAUUUGAAAUCUUAAAGGGUUUCCCUUUACGAAUUGUAGUUUAAAGAAGUGUUUUCUGUUGAGGUUUUGGUAAAAGUACUUUGGAAUAGGACAUCAUAGAGGGUGAGAAUCCCGUAUUUGACCUUUACUUUCAACUUUGUGAUACACUUUCAAAGAGUCGGAUUGUUUGGGAAUGCAGUCCAAAAUGGGUGGUAAAUUUCAUCUAAAGCUAAAUAUUGGCGAGAGACCGAUAGCGAACAAGUACCGUGAGGGAAAGAUGAAAGGAACUUUGAAAAGAGAGUUAAACAGUACGUGAAAUUGUCAAAAGGGAAGCGUUUGACACCAGUGUUGUUUUUCUGAAAAUCAACUAAAGAACUGUUUAUGCUAAGUUGUUUAGACUUUAUCAGCUAACUGUUUAGUUUUGAGCUUUUCUUUAAUGCACUUUUCAGUUAACAAGUCAACAUCAAUUUCUUUUGCUGUAAAAAAGCUUGAGGAAGGUGGCUUGAGAUUCGUCUUAAGUGUUUAUAGCCUCUUGCCUAUGCAGUCGGAGAGAUUGAGGUCUGCAGCGUAGAUCCUUCGGGGCUAAAUGCAUUUGUGCUAAGUUAUAGCAUUUUAUAGACAACUUGUUGACUAUGAUUUGUCUUGUAGCUUACUCGCUUAUGUUAUUUUACCUACGCUUAGGAUGUUGAGUAGCGACAUACGCAC